UGUCAGUCCCGGACCAUUAUUCCUGGAGAUCCCAGAGGAAACUGCGAUCGCGCUGCUGUUGGUCUUUUUCCAGGUAUGAGACCCUUUGGAUGUGAGGCCAUGCAGAAGAAGAGGCUGAUAAAUGAGAGGCUGUGCCCAUCCUGUCCCUGGGGCGUUUCCAGCCUGCCCUGGGGGAGGGAAGGGAGGACACCACCACUACCUCCGCAAUUUCAUCUCUUUUAACACCAAACAAAUGUCUUUUAAACUACAACUGUGCCUUUCUAAAGCUCAGCUAGUUUGAGGAUUUAGUCUCACCUCUCGAGUGUGAAUGAAUAAAUGGGAAAUCCCAUUCUUAAACUGAGCAUAGUCGACAAAAAUCUAGCCCCGAAAACCCUG